UACGAAGGGGGCUAGCGUUGUUCGGAAUUACUGGGCGUAAAGCGCGCGCAGGCGGUCUUCCAAGUCAGUGGUGAAAGCCCGGAGCUCAACUCCGGAACUGCCAUUGAAACUGUUAGACUUGAGGACAAGAGAGGUGAGUGGAAUUCCCAGUGUAGAGGUGAGAUUCGUAGAUAUUGGGAAGAACACCGGUGGCGAAGGCGGCUCACUGGCUCGUAUCCGACGCUCAGGCGCGAUAGCGUGGGGAUCAAACAGG
rnacentral:rRNA from 1 species